rnacentral:ncRNA from 1 species
CGACCCCAACUUAGGCGAUUACACCUGCUGAGUUUAAGCUUAUAAUUAAGUGGAGGAAACGAAACUUACAAGGAUUCCCCUAGUAACAGCAAGCAAACCGGGAAGAUUCCAGCAUGAAAAUCGGGUGGCAACGUCGCCUGAAUUGUAGUCUGUAGAAGCGUCCUUAGCAGUGGAUUGGGCCUAAGUCCCCUGGAAGGGGGAACCUGAGAGGGUGAUAGCCCCAUCAGGUCGGGACCCUGCCACACCACGAGGCAUUGUUGGUGAGUCAGGUUGUUUGGGAAUGCAUCCCUAAUUGGGUGGCAUGUUGGCCAAGUAUCACUUUUGAACCUUGAUUUUGAGGUGGUUCUGUUAGACAAUCUUUCUUCUAUUGUGUCUCCCAAGUUUCAGACCCUCUAGGUAUGAAACUUUAUUUUAUGUAGUUCUAUGAUAUUUCUUCUUUGUAAUGCCACAGGUCUGAUUAAAAUUUGAUGUGCCAAGUGGAAUUUACAGUAACUUCCCCACAACUUGCCGGUUUUUGGCCUUUCCAAGAAAUCUCACUUGUAUAGCAU